rnacentral:tRNA from 1 species
CAGAAAAUAAUUUUAUGUUGAAAAUAUUAAAUUUGGAGUUUAAAAAUGGUGUGGAUGAAUAACUUUUUCUGA